ACUCCUACGGGAGGCAGCAGUGGGGAAUAUUGGACAAUGGGCGAAAGCCUGAUCCAGCAAUGCCGCGUGAGUGAUGAAGGCCUUAGGGGUUGUAAAAGCUCUUUUACUAGGGAUGAUAAUGACAGUACCUAGAGAAUAAGCUCCGGCUAACUCCGUGCCAGCAGCCGCGGUAAUACGGAGGGAGCUAGCGUUGUUCGGAAUUACUGGGCGUAAAGCGCGCGUAGGCGGCCUAGCAAGUCAGGGGUGAAAUCCCGGAGCUCAACUCCGGAACUGCCCUUGAAACUAGCCUAAGCUAGAAUAUUGGAGAGGCAAGUGGAAUUCCGAGUGUAGAGGUGAAAUUCGUAGAUAUUCGGAAGAACACCAGUGGCGAAGGCGACUUGCUGGACAAUUAUUGACGCUGAGGUGCGAAAGCGUGGGGAGCAAAACAGGAUUAGAUACCCUGGUAGCUACGAG
rnacentral:rRNA from 1 species